GACGAACGCUGGCGGCGUGCUUAACACAUGCAAGUCGAACGGAAAGGCCCUGCUUUUGUGGGGUGCUCGAGUGGCGAACGGGUGAGUAACACGUGAGUAACCUGCCCUUGACUUUGGGAUAACUUCAGGAAACUGGGGCUAAUACCGGAUAGGAGCUCCUGCUGCAUGGUGGGGGUUGGAAAGUUUCGGCGGUUGGGGAUGGACUCGCGGCUUAUCAGCUUGUUGGUGGGGUAGUGGCUUACCAAGGCUUUGACGGGUAGCCGGCCUGAGAGGGUGACCGGCCACAUUGGGACUGAGAUACGGCCCAGACUCCUACGGGAGGCAGCAGUGGGGAAUAUGGCACAAGGGGCGGAAGCCUGAUGCAGCAACGCCGCGUGCGGGAUGACGGCCUUCGGGUUGUAAACCGCUUUCGCCUGUGACGAAGCGUGAGUGACGGUAAUGGGUAAAGAAGCACCGGCUAACUACGUG
rnacentral:rRNA from 1 species